UACGUAGGGUGCGAGCGUUAAUCGGAAUUACUGGGCGUAAAGCGUGCGCAGGCGGUUUGUUAAGACAGAUGUGAAAUCCCCGGGCUUAACCUGGGAACUGCAUUUGUGACUGGCAAGCUAGAGUAUGGCAGAGGGGGGUAGAAUUCCACGUGUAGCAGUGAAAUGCGUAGAGAUGUGGAGGAAUACCGAUGGCGAAGGCAGCCUCCUGGGCCAACACUGACGCUCAUGCACGAAAGCGUGGGGAGCAAACAGG
rnacentral:rRNA from 1 species